UCCUACGGGACGCAGCAGUGGGGGAUAUUGCACAAUGGGGGGAACCCUGAUGCAGCGACGCCGCGUGAGGGAAGACGGCCUUCGGGUUGUAAACCUCUGUCGCAGGGGACGAAGGAGAUGACGGUACCCUGUGAGGAAGCCACGGCUAACUACGUGCCGGCAGCCGCGGUAAUACGGAGGGUGCGAGCGUUAAUCGGAAUUACUGGGCGUAAAGCGCUCGUAGGCGGUAUGUCAAGUCAAGGGGGAAAUCCCCGCGCUCAACGUGGGAACUGCCUUUGAAACUGGCAAACUGGAGUGUGUGAGAG
rnacentral:rRNA from 1 species